GGUUAAGCGACUAAGCGUACACGGUGGAUGCCCUGGCAGUCAGAGGCGAUGAAGGACGUGCUAAUCUGCGAUAAGCGUCGGUAAGGUGAUAUGAACCGUUAUAACCGGCGAUUUCCGAAUGGGGAAACCCAGUGUGUUUCGACACACUAUCAUUAACUGAAUCCAUAGGUUAAUGAGGCGAACCGGGGGAACUGAAACAUCUAAGUACCCCGAGGAAAAGAAAUCAACCGAGAUUCCCCCAGUAGCGGCGAGCGAACGGGGAGGAGCCCAGAGCCUGAAUCAGUGUGUGUGUUAGUGGAAGCGUCUGGAAAGGCGCGCGAUACAGGGUGACAGCCCCGUACACAAAAAUACACAUAUUGUGAGCUCGAUGAGUAGGGCGGGACACGUGGUAUCCUGUCUGAAUAUGGGGGGACCAUCCUCCAAGGCUAAAUACUCCUGACUGACCGAUAGUGAACCAGUACCGUGAGGGAAAGGCGAAAAGAACCCCGGCGAGGGGAGUGAAAAAGAACCUGAAACCGUGUACGUACAAGCAGUGGGAGCACGCUUAGGCGUGUGACUGCGUACCUUUUGUAUAAUGGGUCAGCGACUUAUAUUCUGUAGCAAGGUUAACCGAAUAGGGGAGCCGAAGGGAAACCGAGUCUUAACUGGGCGUUAAGUUGCAGGGUAUAGACCCGAAACCCGGUGAUCUAGCCAUGGGCAGGUUGAAGGUUGGGUAACACUAACUGGAGGACCGAACCGACUAAUGUUGAAAAAUUAGCGGAUGACUUGUGGCUGGGGGUGAAAGGCCAAUCAAACCGGGAGAUAGCUGGUUCUCCCCGAAAGCUAUUUAGGUAGCGCCUCGUGAAUUCAUCUCCGGGGGUAGAGCACUGUUUCGGCAAGGGGGUCAUCCCGACUUACCAACCCGAUGCAAACUGCGAAUACCGGAGAAUGUUAUCACGGGAGACACACGGCGGGUGCUAACGUCCGUCGUGAAGAGGGAAACAACCCAGACCGCCAGCUAAGGUCCCAAAGUCAUGGUUAAGUGGGAAACGAUGUGGGAAGGCCCAGACAGCCAGGAUGUUGGCUUAGAAGCAGCCAUCAUUUAAAGAAAGCGUAAUAGCUCACUGGUCGAGUCGGCCUGCGCGGAAGAUGUAACGGGGCUAAACCAUGCACCGAAGCUGCGGCAGCGACGCUUAUGCGUUGUUGGGUAGGGGAGCGUUCUGUAAGCCUGCGAAGGUGUGCUGUGAGGCAUGCUGGAGGUAUCAGAAGUGCGAAUGCUGACAUAAGUAACGAUAAAGCGGGUGAAAAGCCCGCUCGCCGGAAGACCAAGGGUUCCUGUCCAACGUUAAUCGGGGCAGGGUGAGUCGACCCCUAAGGCGAGGCCGAAAGGCGUAGUCGAUGGGAAACAGGUUAAUAUUCCUGUACUUGGUGUUACUGCGAAGGGGGGACGGAGAAGGCUAUGUUGGCCGGGCGACGGUUGUCCCGGUUUAAGCGUGUAGGCUGGUUUUCCAGGCAAAUCCGGAAAAUCAAGGCUGAGGCGUGAUGACGAGGCACUACGGUGCUGAAGCAACAAAUGCCCUGCUUCCAGGAAAAGCCUCUAAGCAUCAGGUAACAUCAAAUCGUACCCCAAACCGACACAGGUGGUCAGGUAGAGAAUACCAAGGCGCUUGAGAGAACUCGGGUGAAGGAACUAGGCAAAAUGGUGCCGUAACUUCGGGAGAAGGCACGC
rnacentral:rRNA from 1 species